UUUUACGGAGAGUUUGAUCCUGGCUCAGGACGAACGCUGGCGGCGUGCUUAACACAUGCAAGUCGAACGAUGAAGCCCAGCUUGCUGGGUGGAAGAGUGGCGAACGGGUGAGUAACACGUGAGUAACCUGCCCUGAACUCUGGGAUAAGCACUGGAAACGGUGUCUAAUACUGGAUACGACCUAUCACCGCAUGGUGUGUAGGUGGAAAGAUUUAUCGGUUCUGGAUGGACUCGCGGCCUAUCAGCUAGAUGGUGAGGUAAUGGCUCACCAUGGCGACGACGGGUAGCCGGCCUGAGAGGGUGACCGGCCACACUGGGACUGAGACACGGCCCAGACUCCUACGGGAGGCAGCAGUGGGGAAUAUUGCACAAUGGGCGCAAGCCUGAUGCAGCAACGCCGCGUGAGGGAUGACGGCCUUCGGGUUGUAAACCUCUUUUAGUAGGGAAGAAGCGAAAGUGACGGUACCUGCAGAAAAAGCACCGGCUAACUACGUGCCAGCAGCCGCGGUAAUACGUAGGGUGCAAGCGUUGUCCGGAAUUAUUGGGCGUAAAGAGCUCGUAGGCGGCUUGUCGCGUCUG
rnacentral:rRNA from 1 species